CGAACGAUGAACCGCCUUCGGGCGGGGAUUAGUGGCGAACGGGUGAGUAACACGUGGGCAAUCUGCCCUGCACUCUGGGACAAGCCCUGGAAACGGGGUCUAAUACCGGAUACAACCGCUUCGGGCAUCCGAGGGCGGUGGAAAGCUCCGGCGGUGCAGGAUGAGCCCGCGGCCUAUCAGCUUGUUGGUGAGGUAACGGCUCACCAAGGCGACGACGGGUAGCCGGCCUGAGAGGGCGACCGGCCACACUGGGACUGAGACACGGCCCAGACUCCUACGGGAGGCAGCAGUGGGGAAUAUUGCACAAUGGGCGCAAGCCUGAUGCAGCGACGCCGCGUGAGGGAUGACGGCCUUCGGGUUGUAAACCUCUUUCAGCAGGGAAGAAGCGCAAGUGACGGUACCUGCAGAAGAAGCGCCGGCUAACUACGUGCCAGCAGCCGCGGUAAUACGUAGGGCGCGAGCGUUGUCCGGAAUUAUUGGGCGUAAAGAGCUCGUAGGCGGCUUGUCGCGUCGGUUGUGAAAGCCCGGGGCUUAACCCCGGGUCUGCAGUCGAUACGGGCAGGCUAGAGUUCGGUAGGGGAGAUCGGAAUUCCUGGUGUAGCGGUGAAAUGCGCAGAUAUCAGGAGGAACACCGGUGGCGAAGGCGGAUCUCUGGGCCGAUACUGACGCUGAGGAGCGAAAGCGUGGGGAGCGAACAGGAUUAGAUACCCUGGUAGUCCACGCCGUAAACGGUGGGCACUAGGUGUGGGCGACAUUCCACGUCGUCCGUGCCGCAGCUAACGCAUUAAGUGCCCCGCCUGGGGAGUAC
rnacentral:rRNA from 1 species